rnacentral:rRNA from 1 species
UACGGGGGGAGCAAGCGUUGUUCGGAUUUACUGGGCGUAAAGGGCGCGUAGGCGGCCUCCGCAAGUCGACUGUGAAAUCUCCGGGCUUAACCCGGAAAGGUCAGCCGAAACUGCGGGGCUAGGAGUGCAGAAGGGGACACUGGAAUUCUCGGUGUAGCGGUGAAAUGCGUAGAUAUCGAGAGGAACACCUGCGGCGAAGGCGGGUUGCUGGGCUGACACUGACGCUGAAGCGCGAAAGCUAGGGGAGCGAACGGG